rnacentral:rRNA from 1 species
UGAAACACGGACCAAGGAGUCUAACAUGUGAGCAAGCGAUUGAGUUAUUGUCUAAGCUCAAACGCACAAUGAAAGUGAAGUGCCACCUUGUUGUGGUAUGAGCGGAGAUCAUUAUCGAAUUUAUUUGAUGGUGCGCAUCCGCGGGCCGCGCCAUCGGCUAGCUUGAUUACUCUCUUGUGGGGUGGUCACUGCUGAGGCGCGGACCAAGAGUUGACACGUUGUGACCCGAAAGAUGGUGAACUAUGCUUGGCCAGGAUGAAGCCAGGGGAAACCCUGGUGGAAGUCCGUAGCGAUUCUGACGUGCAAAUCGAUCGUCUGAGCUGGGUAUAGGGGCGAAAGACUAAUCGAACCAUCUAGUAGCUGGUUCCGCCUGAAGUUUCCCUCAGGAUAGCUGGCACUUGAUAAUACGGAGUUUCAUCCGGUAAAGCGAAUGAUUAGAGGAUACGGGUUGUUUAUUGACUCGACCUAUUCUCAAACUUUAAAUGGGUGAGAGGUCUCGCUGUCUUUAGUGCAGCUGCGACUCUGAAUCCGAGUGCCCAGUGGGCCACUUUUGGUAAGCAGAACUGGCGAUGCGGGAUGAACCGCAUGUCGAGUUAAGGUGCCUAAACGAACGCACAUCAGACACCAUGAAAGGUGUUGAUUGCUCACGACAGCAGGACGGUGGCCAUGGAAGUCGGAAUCCGCUAAGGAGUGUGUAACAACUCACCUGCCGAAGCAAUCAGCCCUGAAAAUGGAUGGCGCUGAAGCGUUCUACCGAUACUCGACCGUCGUUGGCAAGUGUGUGUUGUCUGAAGCCACGACGAGUAAGGCGGCGCGGCAGUGUGCGCUGAAGGUGUGGCCGUGAGGCCAACUGGAGCCGCUGUCGAUGCAGAUCUUGGUGGUAGUAGCAAAUACACAAGCAAGAUCCUUGUGGACCGAUGUGGAGAAGGGUUCCGCGCGAACAGUAUUUGGACGUGGGUGAGUCGGCCCUAAGCCAACGGGUAACUCCCGCAUCCCGAUGUCACAAAUGAACAAUAU